GCACUGCUGAAGAGCCCCAUAAUAGGGCGAAACGGCCGUCCAUUGC
rnacentral:hammerhead_ribozyme from 1 species